rnacentral:lncRNA from 1 species
GACCUGGCGGACAGGUGGGAGCCACAGCGUACACCCCAGGGUUCCCUCUGUGCUGUGCGUAGUGCCUACUGCUUGCUUCCAGGUUAAAUUUCUGUAGCUUUAGAGGACAGGAGACUUCAUGACUUCACUGCCAAGAAAAGUUACAGAGGCCUGCUGUACCUGGAAAUCAAGUUUGAGCUUCGAGAAUAAAGGUCAUGUUUUAAAAACAGCUGUGUAUGUAUAGGAAAGAACCAAACCAUUGUUUCUAGAGACCCUGCAGUAUACAGAUCACAGGAAGAAAAAGUGUUGGCAUAGCUGCUUCCUAAUAUUAUCUAUGUGGAAAUGAAACCUCAAUGUAGUAUGACUUCAUCCCUAGUUAUGUUAUACAUUUAUAAAUAAGUUCAUUCAGUCGUCGCUGAAACAAUUUAAAAGGGCCGAAUGAUAGUUAUUGAGUAAUGAUGCUGACGAAUCAGAAAUCCUGCGCUAACAUGGAUGGAGUGCUAGCUCUAUGUCCGGCACAUGCUGUAUGCUUUAUAUUUAAUCCUUACAGCAACCCAAUACUGUAGAUAAAAUCAUUAUCCCGAUUUCACAGAUGAAGACACUGCCCAGAGUGCCAUAAAGA